UUUGUUUAAGAAACAAAAAAAAAAAAAAAAUUAAAUUUAAAAAAAAAAGAAAGAAAAGACUGUCAUUCAUACCAUUCACAUCUAAAGACUGAAUUUUAUCUGUUUUGAAAAUGAACUUCUCCUGCUACACAGAAGUAACAAUAUGGUAGUCAGUUUUGUAUUUAGAAAUGUAUUGGUAGCGGGGAUGUUUUCACAAUUUUCAGAGAUUAUGCAUUCUUC